rnacentral:rRNA from 1 species
GUCUACGGCCAUACCACCCUGAACACGCACGAUCUCUUCUGAUCUUGGAAGCUAAACAGGGUCAGGCCUGGUUAGUACUUGGAUGGGAGAUUGGCUUUGUUCAAGGGCCAGUUC